AUUAAUACUAUGGACAUGAUUUUAGUAAAGACAGUACAGAGAGUUAACGGUUGGUGAAAGUUAAUUUGGAUAGCUAAAAUUACUACCAUAUUAAAAGUAUUACGUAAUUACGCGAUAAGUAAAAUUAAGAUGUGUAAAGUAAAAUAUUUUACAUAAUUAGGAUGGUACCGCGUUAAAUCGCUCCUAAA
rnacentral:ncRNA from 1 species